GGAGGAUUAGGCUCAGUCUGCCUUCAGUCCCCUGUCCCCUACUCCACAGCCACCCUCCUCUCCCCGGGUCAGACCCAGAUAGGGGCUGUCGGAGUAAGGACCUAGGGUCUGAAUCGGUCCCCUCUCCCGGGCCACUCAGCACCCUCCUGCAAGACAGGCAGCCUGCCUCUGACGCUGAGGAAGGGGUGGGUUUCUCCUUAGCAGCCCAGAUCCUAGGGGCAGGCGGUUUCUGUCUUUGCCCAUGUGCGGUGACUAGGGCGUGGGACAGUGGCAGUGAGUCCCUUGGUCGACUCAGGAGAAACUGAGAGAAAUAUGGGGAGGAGCAGGGGCCCAGAUCCUGGGGACUGGGCGAGCCGGGCACCCUGGGGCCCUUCCCAGCUGGGUGACUGGCGGAUCAGCGUCAGCUUCCGCACUUGGGAGGCUCCACGUCCAGUCACAGGUGGCACUGGGUCCUGGGCCGGGCAGUGGCGAUCAGAGACAGGUCGGGGACAGGUCCAGAAACACUGAUACCAGUGACCAUGGACUGCAACUGCUGACACCAUGAGCCAAAGCGAACCUUUCCUCCUGGAGCCCGCCCGUCAUGUGCAGGGGAGGCCCAGGAGCUCGGUGCUGAACAUGCUCAGGAGGCUGGACAGGAUCAGGUUCAGAGGCCCCAAGAGAGAGGACUGCCUGGACCUGGCAGAGUCGCCCAAUGCCUCGGACACUGAGUGCGCUGACGAGCUGCCCCUGAAGACACCUCGGACCUCGCCCGAGACGGCCAGGAGCUCAGGGACCCUGCAGGUCCAGGGACCCUCAUCAUGGCCACUGGGGCGCCAGACUUCAUCCGCACAGAGUCUGAUCGCCUGAACGAGAUCAAGGGUCACCUGGAAAUCGCCUUACUGGAGAAGCACUUCCUGCAGGAGGAGCUCCGGAAGCUCCGGGAGGAAACCAACUCGGAGAUGCUGAGGCAAGAGCUGGACCGGGAGCGGCAGCGGCGGCUGGAGCUGGAACAGAAGAUGCAGGAGGUGCUGAAGGCCAGAGCCGAGGAGCAGACUGCGCAGGUCCAACAGCCGCUAAAGAGCCAGAGCCAGGCCGGCAAUGGAGCAGAACGCCGCAGCCAGGGCCUGUCCUCCCGAGCACAGAAGUGGUUCUAUGAGAGGUUCUGGGGAGUACCUGGAGGGAUUUCCGCUUUCAGCCCGAGGAGAACACCGUGGAGACCGAGGAACCCCUCAGUGCCCGCAGGUUAACGGAGAACAUGAGGCGGCUGAGUGAGUGUGGUCCCUUGGCCGAGCGUGGGUGGUGGGUGGUGGGGAAUGGAGCCCAAGCUGGCCGGCCCAGCGUUUGGGGGUGAAAAGUGACGCCUUUCUCCCAUACUCCCCAGACCCCAGGGAAUCCCAACAUGCUGCACCCCAUCUUUGCCCUGUUCCCUUUUUCCUGCCCCCCACCGGCCUGGGCAUGGGGGGUGCAGGUGGUUUCUCCCCAUGGGUAACUCGGGAUGUGCUGUGCUGACCGCCGUAGUCUGCUCUCUUCCCAGAGCGGGGCCAAGCCUGUCACUAACUUCGUGAGGAACCUUUCUGCCUUAUCUGACUGGUACUCCGUCUACACCUCUGCCAUCGCCUUCACGGUGUACAUGAACGCCGCGUGUGGCACGGCUGGGCCAUCCCCAUGUUUCUGUUUCUAGCAAUUCUGAGGCUGUCCCUCAAUUACCUCAUCGCCAGGGGCUGGCGGAUACAGUGGAGCAUCGUGCCAGAAGUGUCUGAAGCUGUGGAACCUCCAAAGGAAGACCUGACCGUGUCCGAGAAGUUCCAGCUGGUGCUGGACGUCGCCCAGAAAGCCCAGAAUCUCUUUGGCAAGAUGGCAGACAUCCUGGAAAAGAUCAAGAACCUGUUCAUGUGGGUGCAGCCCGAGAUCACGCAGAAGCUGUACAUUGCACUGUGGGCUGCCUUCCUGGCCUCCUGCUUCUUCCCCUACCGCCUGGUGGGGCUCACCGUGGGGCUCUAUGCUGGCGUCAAGUUUUUCCUCAUCGAUUUCAUCUUCAAACGCUGCCCCCGGCUGCGAGGCCAAGUAUGACACGCCCUACAUCAUCUGGCGGAGCCUCCCCACGGACCCCCAGCUCAAGGAGCGUGCGGGUGCCACUGUGUCACGCAGGUUGCAGACAGCCGCGUCUAGGAGCUACGUCUCCAGUGCACCAGCCGGCUUGAGCAAGGAUGAGGAUGCUGGUCGCUUCCACAGUACCAAGAAGGGCAAUUUCCACGAAAUCUUCAACUUGACCGAAAAUGAGCGUCCACUGGCAGUGUGUGAGAACGGUUGGCGCUGCUGCCUGAUAAACCGAGACCGGAAGAUGCCCACGGACUACAUCAGGAAUGGGGUUCUGUAUGUGACAGAGAAUUACUUAUGCUUUGAAAGCUCCAAAUCCGGGUCCUCAAAGAGGAACAAGGUCAUCAAGCUGGUAGACAUCACAGACAUCCAGAAGUACAAGGUCCUGUCUGUCCUCCGGGCUCAGGCAUGGGGAUUGCUGUAUCGACGCCAUCAACCCAGAAAGUAAGUGGCAGGCGGGUGGCUGUGACUGGUCCAGGUGGGUCGGGGGGCUCAGCUCUUGCCAUGCCUGGGCCUGGCCAUGGCUUCAGCCCGGGCAGGGAGCUGCAGACUGCUACAUCCGGUCUGCAUCCAGCGAUCACAGCCCUUGGGCGGUAGAGUCCCAGGACAGAUGAAUACUCAGGAAGGGGGGCGGCAAGCCUGGAGCCCAGGUUCCCCACUUCUUACCUCGGUUUCUCUGAGCCUUCUGGGUAGGACCCUGCACAGCUGCUUGGUGCUCAGCUUGGGGUCACCAUCUUGGUCCCAACCUUGCAGUGGGCAGUGCUCACAGGCAGCGUUUCCCCCAGCCGCUGGUGUUCGAGGCGCCAUGGUGCACAGAGACGAGGCCUUCGAGACCAUUUUCAGCCAAUAUGUGAAGAUCACGUCUGCAUCAGCCUCGGGUGGGAAAGCUAGUACUGAGCCCUGGGUGCCACUGGAAUCUUUUUAACAGUCGGUGUGGGACAGAGUGGACAGCCUCAUGACCCUUUGCAAUAAUUCCCUGACCUAUGGUUUCUGUUGCGUGGCUGGAUUCACACACAGAGGCUGGGGCUCAGGAGGAGGUGCCACUGCCCCCUGGCAGGCGCGUGUGGCACCUUAGUGGGGACGCGGCUGGGCGGAGGGGGCCGCAGGGCUCAUUGAGAGGAUGACACGCAGGACUUCACUGACCGGGCCUACCAAGCACAGCUCCUUGUUCUCCAUCCCGCCUGGGUAGAGACUGACACCGGCCACCCCAGGAGGCUCUCGUGACCCCUCGUUCCCUGCUUUGCAGAGGCCAGGAGCUGCCCCACCAAAGCCAUAGCUGAGUGCCUCCAUGGUCCUCUCCUGCUGGGGUCAGGGAAGGAGUGGAAUCGGGGCCCCUGUACCAGCUGCCCAGAAAAGGCCAGCAGGUCUCCCUCAACCUUCAGCACUUGUCCUUAAAGCUCCAGGCCCUGGGCCUGGGGACAGGGUUGUCUUCCGUGGGAGCAGUGAGGCUGGGCAUAUUUGGAGGCACUUCCCUCUCACCUGCUAUGGUAGAUGAAGCCUGGAGGCUUGAGGUUGACUGGGAAGGGUACAGAAUGCCAUGUGGGUAAAAGCACAUCUCUAACACUGCUCCUCCGAGAGGCCCUGGAGGACGUCAGGAAGGCUGUGGGGUGCUCUGAGCUGUGGCUGCUCUCAGGUGAAAAUCAACAGUCUGGCCGGCACUGGGCCCUCUGGCUGCAACCACCCAGGUAGGCGUGGUUGAGGAUGGCCUGGGCUUUGUGGCCCACAGAGGCCCAGGCUGCAGAUGCCCUGCCUGUGGGGCCAUCAGGAGCUCCUGGGAGGACCCUCUGCUGUAGGGGUGGCUGUGAGCAGAUUCCAGUGUGGGGCCAGGGCCACCCUGCAUCCCUGACAGCUGACAGUACUCCCCCACCCCCGGGGGUGCCCAGCAGUGCCAGGCUGGGCACAAACCACCCUCAGCCUGCCCCGCCCUGGGGCUGCGCACACUUGCAGGGUGAACUCUGGCUCCGUAGAGGAAGCCGGAGAGUGUGUCUCCCACGCUUGGUUUACCCUGGGGCCGUGCGCCCACAGAUGGAUUUGAACUGCAAAGAAGCCGACAUUGAGUCCUGGGACAGGCUUGGCCUCCCAAGGCCGCACCACAUGUGGUCUGUAUGCUUUCUGAGCAGUCUCUCCAGUUCUUCAGCUUGUCCUGGGUCUUUCGAGGUGUCUCUGAGAUUGUUUUUGAAGAAACAGAUUAUAUUUUUUACAGAGAGCAAGCUGUUUUUCUUAUUUUUGUAUCAUUUUUCAAAUGGAAUUUUUACCUUUGCUCUGAAUCCUCGUUGGCUGGCUUGGGAGUGGACGCAGUGGUGUGGGCUGGUGACCCCUUCCUGGAGGCUGCAGGGUUGCCCGUGGUGUGGGGACGCGGCACAAACAGCCAGGUCAGGCACACAGGCCACACCAGGCUCCACAGAUGGUACCACCACACCCUUGUUGUUGAAGGCAGAGCCCCCCUGGCAUGGCUCACCUGGCAGCAGACCCAGCUCUCAAGUGCAUGGGGUUAGGUGGGGCCCAGGAGGACCCCAAGGGGAGGUGGAGGGGGCCUGACCUGUUCUGGGUGCAGGUGUAUGGGUGAUGUCCAUGGGUGAUGGUCAGACCUGUCCCCUGGCCCUGGCAGUGCCAGGGCGGGUGCUGGGAACGUGCUAUCAGUGAGCACUUCCUGUGGACACACUGGGAUGCUGUCCAAAGCACCAUGGGGAGGGGCUGGGCGGACAGGGCUUCUUCAAAGACCGUGUGGUUUAGUUUGAGUCCCUUUCUCGGAGAAGGGCGAUGAAGACUGGCCAUGGCCUGCUGGAUGCAGCGCCCAGUGUGUGGGGGAGGCCAGUGUCACCCCAAGUUGCACAGCUAGGAAGUAGCAGGUUCUUCAGUGGACCCCGGGGGCUGGGCUGGGCUAGGACAGGGGCCUGUGCAGGCCCUGGUCUCGUCAGAGACCACAGUUCUGUGGAAGUGUACAUCUGGGCUAUAUUUAAUUUCUAUGACUAAUCACUGAACUAGAACGUUAAAUUUUGAAUGUCUGAAGCUUGAGUCUAUUUUGGAUCUGUACAUAAUUGUUACCAGUGUAACUUUUGUUCAACAAAAGGAUUGUACUGUAUGAAGAAUCGAUGAAAAAACUUGUCACAUUUUUUUAAGAGAAAAACCUUGUUUAAAGAAAAAGUCUUGUAUAAAUUAUAAUUUUUAUUUAAAUAAACCCUAAAACGCUUUGUGCUAAAGCUCAGGCCCUCUGCUUUCUUGGCAGGGUGUGGGCUGCUGGAGCAGGCUGGGCAGCUCCCAGGCCCCGCAGGACCCCAGGGGCAACGAGGACGUGGAGCCACCUGGAGCCUCUUUGAGCCUCGAUGGGUUAAGGUUGAGGGGGAGGCAGGUGCUGGGCCGCAGUGGAGGCCAGAUGGUGAGGGGCACUGGCAGAAGGGCAAGGCUGGCACUGGAGUGGGGUGUGAG
rnacentral:lncRNA from 1 species